GCAUAUCAAUAAGCGGAGGAAAAGAAACCAACAGGGAUUGCCCUAGUAACGGCGAGUGAAGCGGCAACAGCUCAAAUUUGAAAUCUGGCGUCUUUGGCGUCCGAGUUGUAAUUUGCAGAGGGCGCUUUGGCAUUGGCAGCGGUCCAAGUUCCUUGGAACAGGACGUCACAGAGGGUGAGAAUCCCGUACGUGGUCGCUAGCCUCUACCGUGUAAAGCCCCUUCGACGAGUCGAGUUGUUUGGGAAUGCAGCUCUAAAUGGGAGGUAAAUUUCUUCUAAAGCUAAAUACUGGCCAGAGACCGAUAGCGCACAAGUAGAGUGAUCGAAAGAUGAAAAGCACUUUGGAAAGAGAGUUAAAAAGCACGUGAAAUUGUUGAAAGGGAAGCGCUUGCAGCCAGACUUGCCUGUAGUUGCUCAUCCGGGUUUUUACCCGGUGCACUCUUCUAUAGGCAGGCCAGCAUCAGUUUGGGCGGUUGGAUAAAGGUCUCUGUCACGUACCUCCUCUCGGGGAGAACUUAUAGGGGAGACGUAAUGCAACCAGCCUGGACUGAGGUCCGCGCAUCUGCU
rnacentral:rRNA from 1 species